rnacentral:lncRNA from 1 species
AGAAUAACUUUCCUAAGAGAAGAUACACCAUACCCAUUUAUGCUAUUAGGGGGUACGGCCCAAGAUAACUCAAAGCCAUAUUCAUUUCUUUAAUUAUAAUAACAGAUAUAUCAGAAAUAAAAGUAAUAAAAAGAUUCAAUUCAAAUUCUUAAUUAAAUCAAAACUAGUUCAGAGCACCUAAAUCUAAAAUCAAAUACAAAUUCAUAUCUCAAAUUUCAUAAUUAUUUACUACACGUCUGUGAUUAUCAAAUAACUAAAUUUCAUCUAUAAAAUUUUCAAACUUGAUAUGUAGAUCCCC